rnacentral:rRNA from 1 species
UGGUGGAGUGAUUUGUCUGGUUAAUUCCGUUAACGAACGAGACCGCUGCCUGCUAAAUAGUUCCAUGAGUGUUCUAUACUGAUGUGGACUUCUUAGAGGGACGUGCAUUCUAUUAGAUGCAGGAGGAUAGCGGCAAUAACA